rnacentral:siRNA from 1 species
UUUACCUAUACGCGAACCAGUGAU